AUGAUAUUAGUUUGGAAGAUGCUAGCGACGAUAUAGAACGUAACGAUUUAGAUGAUGCCAACGACUAUGUAGAUGGUAACAAUUUGGAUGAUGCGAACGAUGAUGGAGAUACAAGCCAUGCGUCUGUGACUAUUUGGCCUGCUGGACUAUUGCAGAGGCCGAGGCGUAAUAUUAAGCAUACACGUUGUAGGACUGGUAUUUUAUUUACUUAAGCACAUUUAAUCUAAUUCUUGUGGUAUUGAUUAGUACUUGAUUAUAUUACUUUAUUUUACAGGGAGUCACUAUAUUUACAAGCACUGACGUAGGAAUGGACCAUUGAUCGCUCCAAUUAUCAUUUCAGGGC
rnacentral:lncRNA from 1 species